UAUUAUUUGUAUGUAUAGGGAAGAAGAUUCACGAUCGAUGAAAAAGUUUUGGCUUUAUCAUUGUAUAAGCAAUCUGGAUCUUGUUACAACUUAUUAUCAAAAUUAUUUGUUUCACCAAGUAUUACAACUCUUAAAUCUUUGUUACGAACAAUUUCUUUACAACCAGGAAUUAAUAAAUUUAUGUUUGAGCAUCUUCGGCAACAUGUUACAAAAAUGCAAGCACGAGAUAAAUUAUGUGUAUUAUUGUGGGACGAGAUGUCAUUAGAAGCCAAUUUGCAGUAUGACCAAUUAAAUGAUAAAAUAAUAGGCUUUGAAGAUUGGGGACAUAGACGUACAUCAUUAAUAGCCGAUCAUGCAUUGGUUUUUAUGGGCACGAGGAAUUGUGAAAGGGUGGAAAAUACCAUUGAGUUACAACUUCUGUAAAAGUCAAACAAAAUCUGCACAGUUAUUAAGAUGUAUCAAGGAAAUUAUAAAAGAAUUAACUCAAAUUGGUUUGACAAUUAUUGCAACUGUAUGCGAUCAAGGAGGACUAAAUAUGGCAGUCAUUAAUAAACUUCUCGAGGAUUCAAGAAGGAAAUGUAUACAAACUGUAGGGUUGAGAACACAUAAACAUGCACUUCCGUUCCUUUACAUAUAUACUCCAUGGCUACGCCAUAUUGUCGCCAUCAUCGAUAACAGAGUUCCUAUCUACAAAACAUAUACUCAUGGUUCUUCUCCGCGAUCCGUAGACAUUAUCGCCCUCAUUCCUUUUGUAACUUCCAAUAAAGCAAGUUGUUGUGUUAUACGAGUGUCUAUACCGAAAUCCUCUGAUUCCCACUCUUAUAUAGGAUAAAACCCCUACAAAACAAAUCAAGAACAUUGAGGUAUUAUUGAACUUUGUGGGCAAAAUAUUGUACCCAUCUAUGAUCCACCACAUCUUAUAAAAGGAAUUCAUAAUAAUUUAUUAACUAAAGAUUUAGAAGUUAAUGUUACUACAAAUUUAAACAAAAAUGAACGACAGUUUGCAUCAUGGGAUAUCAUUGAACUUGCAUACAAAACGGAUAUUUAUACAAAUACAUUAAAUCGUCAAUUGCCAAAAUUAACUGAUGAACAUGUAAUUAAAGCAAAAAUUAAAAAAAUGAAAGUUAAAUGCGCUACUCAGAUUUUUAGUGCAAGAUUAUCAGCAUAUAUUGAAUACAACAGCAAAAUCAAAAAAGGAUUUGUCGAUUCACAGAUUGGUCCGCUACAAAUACCGAACAAAACAUGAUACGGCAAUGGUAUUAGAUUUUUUUAAUAAAGUUUUUGAUUCCGUGAACGCA